GAUCCUGGCUCAGGAUGAACGCUAGCGACAGGCCUAACACAUGCAAGUCGAGGGGCGAGCGAAGAGGUAGCAAUACCUUUGUCGGCGACCGGCGCACGAGUGAGUAACACGUAUGCAAUCCACCUGUAACAGGGGGAUAACCCGGAGAAAUCCGGACUAAUACCCCAUAAUAUGGGCGCUCCGCAUGGAGAGCCCAUUAAAGAGAGCAAUUUUGGUUACAGACGAGCAUGCGCUCCGA
rnacentral:rRNA from 1 species